GUUGGAGCUAGGGUUAGGGUUGGGCUUUGAGCUAGGAUUUUUCUGAGUGCAAUGAACCAACUCCCAAGUCUCUAGGACGUUCCUAAAAAAAUUUGAUUUUUUCCCAUAGGAAUGCAUUGGUUAGGGUUAGGGUUAGGGUUGGAGCUAGGGUUAGGGUUAGGGUUAGGGUUGGAGUUAGGGUUAGUGUUGGAGCUAGGGUUAGGGUUGGGCUUGGAGCUAGGGUUUUUCUGAGUGCAAUGAACCAACUCCCGAGUCUCUAGGACGUUCCUAAAAAAAUUAGAUUUUUUCCCAUAGGAAUGCAUGGGUUAGGGUUAGGGUUAGGGUUGGAGCUAGGGUUAGGGUUAGGGUUAGGGUUGGAGUUAGGGUUAGUGUUGGAGCUAGGGUUAGGGUUGGGCUUGGAGCUAGGAUUUUUCUGAGUGCAAUGAACCAACUCCCGAGUCUCUAGGACGUUCCUAAAAAAAUUUGAUUUUUUCCUAUAGGAAUGCAUGGGUUAGGGUUAGGGUUAGGGUUGGAGCUAGGGUUAGGGUUAGGGUUAGGGUUGGAGUUAGGGUUAGUGUUGGGGCUAGGGUUAGGGUUGGGCUUGGAGCUAGGAUUUUUCUGAGUGCAAUGAACCAACUCCCGAGUCUCUAGGACGUUCCUAAAAAAAUUGAUCUUUUCCCAUAGGAAUGCAUGGGUUAGGGUGAGGGUUAGGGUUGGAGCUAGGGUUAGGGUUAGGGUUGGAGUUAGGGUUAGUGUUGGAGCUAGGGUUAGGGUUGGGCUUGGAGCUAGGAUUUUUCUGAGUGCAAUGAACCAACUCCCAAGUCUCUAGGAUGUUCCUAAAAAAAUUUGAUUUUUUCCCAUAGGAAUGCAUGGGUUAGGGUUAGGGUUAGGGUUGGAGCUAGGGUUAGGGUUAGGGUUAGGGUUGGAGUUAGGGUUAGUGUUGGGGCUAGGGUUAGGGUUGGGCUUGGAGCUAGGAUUUUUCUGAGUGCAAUGAACCAACUCCCGAGUCUCUAGGACGUUCCUAAAAAAAUUUGAUUUUUUCCCAUAGGAAUGCAUGGGUUAGGGUUAGGGUUAGGGUUGGAGCUAGGGUUAGGGUUAGGGUUAGGGUUGGAGUUAGGGUUAGUGUUGGGGCUAGGGUUAGGGUUGGGCUUGGAGCUAGGAUUUUUCUGAGUGCAAUGAACCAACUCCCGAGUCUCUAGGACGUUCCUAAAAAAAUUUGAUUUUUUCCCAUAGGAAUGCAUGGGUUAGGGUUAGGGUAAGGGUUGGAGCUAGGGUUAGGGUUAGGGUUAGGGUUGGAGUUAGGGUUAGUGUUGGAGCUAGGGUUAGGGUUGGGCUUGGAGCUAGGAUUUUUCUGAGUGCAAUGAACCAACUCCCAAGUCUCUAGGACGUUCCUAAAAAAAUUUGAUUUUUUCCCAUAGGAAUGCAUGGGUUAGGGUUAGGGAUAGGGUUGGAGCUAGGGUUAGGGUUAGGGUUAGGGUUGGAGUUAGGGUUAGUGUUGGAGCUAGGGUUAGGGUUGGGCUUGGAGCUAGGAUUUUUCUGAGUGCAAUGAACCAACUCCCGAGUCUCUAGGACGUUCCUAAAAAAAUUUGAUUUUUUCCCAUAGGAAUGCAUGGGUUAGGGUUAGGGUUAGGGUUGGAGCUAGGGUUAGGGUUAGGGUUAGGGUUGGAGUUAGGGUUAGUGUUGGGGCUAGGGUUAGGGUUGGGCUUGGAGCUAGGAUUUUUCUGAGUGCAAUGAACCAACUCCCGAGUCUCUAGGACGUUCCUAAAAAAAUUUGAUUUUUUCCCAUAGGAAUGCAUGGGUUAGGGUUAGGGUUAGGGUUGGAGCGAGGGUUAGGGUUAGGGUUAGGGUUAGGGUUGGAGUUAGGGUUAGUGUUGGAGCUAGGGUUAGGGUUGGGCUUGGAGCUAGGAUUUUUCUGAGUGCAAUGAACCAACUCCCCAGUCUCUAGGACGUUCCUAAAAAAAUUUGAUUUUUUCCCAUAGGAAUGCAUGGGUUAGGGUUAGGGUUAGGGUUGGAGCGAGGGUUAGGGUUAGGGUUAGGGUUAGGGUUGGAGUUAGGGUUAGUGUUGGAGCUAGGGUUAGGGUUGGGCUUGGAGCUAGGAUUUUUCUGAGUGCAAUGAACCAACUCCCGAGUCUCUAGGACAUUCCUAAAAAAAUUUGAUUUUUUCCCAUAGGAAUGCAUGGGUUAGGGUUAGGGUUAGGGUUGGAGCUAGGGUUAGGGUUAGGGUUAGGGUUGGAGUUAGGGUUAGUGUUGGAGCUAGGGUUAGGGUUGGGCUUGGAGCUAGGAUUUUUCUGAGUGCAAUGAACCAACUCCCAAGUCUCUAGGAUGUUCCUAAAAAAAUUUGAUUUUUUCCCAUAGGAAUGCAUGGGUUAGGGUUAGGGUUAGGGUUGGAGCUAGGGUUAGGGUUAGGGUUAGGGUUGGAGUUAGGGUUAGUGUUGGAGCUAGGGUUAGGGUUGGGCUUGGAGCUAGGAUUUUUCUGAGUGCAAUGAACCAACUCCCGAGUCUCUAGGACGUUCCUAAAAAAAUUUGAUUUUUUCCCAUAGGAAUGCAUGGGUUAGGGUGAGGGUUAGGGUUGGAGCUAGGGUUAGGGUUAGGGUUAGGGUUGGAGUUAGGGUUAGUGUUGGAGCUAGGGUUAGGGUUGGGCUUGGAGCUAGGAUUUUUCUGAGUGCAAUGAACCAACUCCCGAGUCUCUAGGACGUUCCUAAAAAAAUUUGAUUUUUUCCCAUAGGAAUGCAUGGGUUAGGGUUAGGGUUAGGGUUGGAGCUAGGGUUAGGGUUAGGGUUAGGGUUAGGGUUGGAGUUAGGGUUAGUGUUGGAGCUAGGGUUAGGGUUGGGCUUGGAGCUAGGAUUUUUCUGAGUGCAAUGAACCAACUCCCGAGUCUCUAGGACGUUCCUAAAAAAAUUAGAUUUUUUCCCAUAGGAAUGCAUGGGUUAGGGUUAGGGUUAGGGUUGGAGCUAGGGUUAGGGUUAGGGUUAGGGUUAGGGUUGGAGUUAGGGUUAGUGUUGGAGCUAGGGUUAGGGUUGGGCUUGGAGCUAGGAUUUUUCUGAGUGCAAUGAACCAACUCCCGAGUCUCUAGGACGUUCCUAAAAAAAUUUGAUUUUUUCCCAUAGGAAUGCAUGGGUUAGGGUUAGGGGAAGGGUUGGAGCUAGGGUUAGGGUUAGGGUUAGGGUUGGAGUUAGGAUUAGUGUUUGAGCUAGGGUUAGGGUUGGGCUUGGAGCUAGGAUUUUUCUGAGUGCAAUGAACCAACUCCCAAGUCUCUAGGACGUUCCUAAAAAAAUUUGAUUUUUUCCCAUAGGAAUGCAUGGGUUAGGGUUAGGGUUAGGGUUGGAGCUAGGGUUAGGGUUAGGGUUAGGGUUGGAGUUAGGGUUAGUGUUGGGGCUAGGGUUAGGGUUGGGCUUGGAGCUAGGAUUUUUCUGAGUGCAAUGACCAACUCCCGAGUCUCUAGGACGUUCCUAAAAAAAUUUGAUUUUUUCCCAUAGGAAUGCAUGGGUUACGGUUAGGGUUAGGGUUGGAGAGAGGGUUAGGGUUAGGGUUAGGGUUAGGGUUGGAGUUAGGAUUAGUGUUUGAGCUAGGGUUAGGGUUGGGCUUGGAGCUAGGAUUUUUCUGAGUGCAAUGACCAACUCCCCAGUCUCUAGGACAUUCCUAAAAAAAUUUGAUUUUUUCCCAUAGGAAUGCAUGGGUUAGGGUUAGGGUUAGGGUUGGAGCUAGGGUUAGGGUUAGGGUUAGGGUUGGAGUUAGGGUUAGUGUUGGAGCUAGGGUUAGGGUUGGGCUUGGAGCUAGGAUUUUUCUGAGUGCAAUGAACCAACUCCCGAGUCUCUAGGACGUUCCUAAAAAAAUUUGAUUUUUUCCCAUAGGAAUGCAUGGGUUAGGGUUAGGGUUAGGGUUGGAGCUAGGGUUAGGGUUAGGGUUAGGGUUAGGGUUGGAGCUAGGGUUAGGGUUAGGGUUAGGGUUAGGGUUGGAGUUAGGGUUAGUGUUGGAGCUAGGGUUAGGGUUCGGCUUGGAGCUAGGAUUUUUCUGAGUGCAAUGAACCAACUCCCGAGUCUCUAGGACGUUCCUAAAAAAAUUAGAUUUUUUCCCAUAGGAAUGCAUGGGUUAGGGUUAGGGUUAGGGUUGGAGCUAGGGUUAGGGUUAGGGUUAGGGUUAGGGUUGGAGUUAGGGUUAGUGUUGGAGCUAGGGUUAGGGUUGGGCUUGGAGCUAGGAUUUUUCUGAGUGCAAUGAACCAACUCCCGAGUCUCUAGGACGUUCCUAAAAAAAUUUGAUUUUUUCCCAUAGGAAUGCAUGGGUUAGGGUUAGGGUAAGGGUUGGAGCUAGGGUUAGGGUUAGGGUUGGAGUUAGGGUUAGUGUUGGAGCUAGGGUUAGGGUUGGGCUUGGAGCUAAGAUUUUUCUGAGUGCAAUGAACCAACUCCCAAGUCUCUAGGACGUUCCUAAAAAAAUUUGAUUUUUUCCCAUAGGAAUGCAUGGGUUAGGGUUAGGGUUAGGGUUGGAGCUAGGGUUAGGGUUAGGGUUUGGGUUGGAGUUAGGGUUAGUGUUGGAGCUAGGGUUAGGGUUGGGCUUGGAGCUAGGAUUUUUCUGAGUGCAAUGAACCAACUCUCGAGUCUCUAGGACGUUCCUAAAAAAAUUUGAUUUUUUCCCAUAGGAAUGCAUGGGUUAGGGUUAGGGUUAGGGUUGGAGCUAGGGUUAGGGUUAGGGUUAGGGUUUGGAGUUAGGGUUAGUGUUGGAGCUAGGGUUAGGGUUGGGCUUGGAGCUAGGAUUUUUCUGAGUGCAAUGAACCAACUCCCAAGUCUCUAGGACGUUCCUAAAAAAAUUUGAUUUUUUCCCAUAGGAAUGCAUGGGUUAGGGUUAGGGUUAGGGUUGGAGCGAGGGUUAGGGUUAGGGUUAGGGUUAGGGUUGGAGUUAGGGUUAGUGUUGGAGCUAGGGUUAGGGUUGGGCUUGGAGCUAGGAUUUUUCUGAGUGCAAUGAACCAACUCCCGAGUCUCUAGGACAUUCCUAAAAAAAUUUGAUUUUUUCCCAUAGGAAUGCAUGGGUUAGGGUUAGGGUUAGGGUUGGAGCUAGGGUUAGGGUUAGGGUUGGAGUUAGGGUUAGUGUUGGAGCUAGGGAUAGGGUUGGGCUUGGAGCUAGGAUUUUUCUGAGUGCAAUGAACCAACUCCCGAGUCUCUAGGACGUUCCUAAAAAAAUUUGAUUUUUUCCCAUAGGAAUGCAUGGGUUAGGGUGAGGGUUAGGGUUGGAGCUAGGGUUAGGGUUAGGGUUAGGGUUGGAGUUAGGGUUAGUGUUGGAGCUAGGGUUAGGGUUGGGCUUGGAGCUAGGAUUUUUCUGAGUGCAAUGAACCAACUCCCGAGUCUCUAGGACGUUCCUAAAAAAAAUUGAUUUUUUCCCAUAGGAAUGCAUGGGUUAGGGUUAGGGUUAGGGUUGGAGCUAGGGUUAGGGUUAGGGUUAGGGUUGGAGUUAGGGUUAGUGUUGGGGCUAGGGUUAGGGUUGGGCUUGGAGCUAGGAUUUUUCUGAGUGCAAUGAACCAACUCCCGAGUCUCUAGGACGUUCCUAAAAAAAUUUGAUUUUUUCCCAUAGGAAUGCAUGGGUUAGGGUUAGGGUAAGGGUUGGAGCUAGGGUUAGGGUUAGGGUUAGGGUUGGAGUUAGGGUUAGUGUUGGAGCUAGGGUUAGGGUUGGGCUUGGAGCUAGGAUUUUUCUGAGUGCAAUGAACCAACUCCCAAGUCUCUAGGACGUUCCUAAAAAAAUUUGAUUUUUUCCCAUAGGAAUGCAUGGGUUAGGGUUAGGGUUAGGGUUGGAGCUAGGGUUAGGGUUAGGGUUAGGGUUGGAGUUAGGGUUAGUGUUGGAGCUAGGGUUAGGGUUGGGCUUGGAGCUAGGAUUUUUCUGAGUGCAAUGAACCAACUCCCGAGUAUCUAGGACGUUCCUAAAAAAAUUUGAUUUUUUCCCAUAGGAAUGCAUGGGUUAGGGUUAGGGUUAGGGUUGGAGCUAGGGUUAGGGUUAGGGUUAGGGUUGGAGUUAGGGUUAGUGUUGGGGCUAGGGUUAGGGUUGGGCUUGGAGCUAGGAUUUUUCUGAGUGCAAUGACCAACUCCCAAGUCUCUAGGACGUUCCUAAAAAAUUUGAUUUUUUCCCAUAGGAAUGCAUGGGUUAGGGUUAGGGUUAGGGUUGGAGCUAGGGUUGGAGUUAGGGUUAGUGUUGGAGCUAGGGUUAGGGUUGGGCUUGGAGCUAGGAUUUUUCUGAGUGCAAUGAACCAACUCCCGAGUCUCUAGGACGUUCCUAAAAAAAUUUGAUUUUUUCCCAUAGGAAUGCAUGGGUUAGGGUUAGGGUUAGGGUUGGAGCUAGGGUUAGGGUUAGGGUUAGGGUUGGAGUUAGGGUUAGUGUUGGGGCUAGGGUUAGGGUUGGGCUUGGAGCUAGGAUUUUUCUGAGUGCAAUGAACCAACUCCCGAGUCUCUAGGACGUUCCUAAAAAAAUUUGAUUUUUUCCCAUAGGAAUGCAUGGGUUAGGGUUAGGGUUAGGGUUGGAGUUAGGGUUAGUGUUGGAGCUAGGGUUAGGGUUCGGCUUGGAGCUAGGAUUUUUCUGAGUGCAAUGAACCAACUCCCGAGUCUCUAGGACGUUCCUAAAAAAAUUAGAUUUUUUCCCAUAGGAAUGCAUGGGUUAGGGUUAGGGUUAGGGUUGGAGCUAGGGUUAGGGUUAGGGUUAGGGUUAGGGUUGGAGUUAGGGUUAGUGUUGGAGCUAGGGUUAGGGUUGGGCUUGGAGCUAGGAUUUUUCUGAGUGCAAUGAACCAACUCCCGAGUCUCUAGGACGUUCCUAAAAAAAUUUGAUUUUUUCCCAUAGGAAUGCAUGGGUUAGGGUUAGGGUAAGGGUUGGAGCUAGGGUUAGGGUUAGGGUUGGAGUUAGGGUUAGUGUUGGAGCUAGGGUUAGGGUUGGGCUUGGAGCUAGGAUUUUUCUGAGUGCAAUGAACCAACUCCCAAGUCUCUAGGACGUUCCUAAAAAAAUUUGAUUUUUUCCCAUAGGAAUGCAUGGGUUAGGGUUAGGGUUAGGGUUGGAGCUAGGGUUAGGGUUAGGGUUUGGGUUGGAGUUAGGGUUAGUGUUGGAGCUAGGGUUAGGGUUGGGCUUGGAGCUAGGAUUUUUCUGAGUGCAAUGAACCAACUCUCGAGUCUCUAGGACGUUCCUAAAAAAAUUUGAUUUUUUCCCAUAGGAAUGCAUGGGUUAGGGUUAGGGUUAGGGUUGGAGCUAGGGUUAGGGUUAGGGUUAGGUUUGGAGUUAGGGUUAGUGUUGGAGCUAGGGUUAGGGUUGGGCUUGGAGCUAGGAUUUUUCUGAGUGCAAUGAACCAACUCCCAAGUCUCUAGGACGUUCCUAAAAAAAUUUGAUUUUUUCCCAUAGGAAUGCAUGGGUUAGGGUUAGGGUUAGGGUUGGAGCGAGGGUUAGGGUUAGGGUUAGGGUUAGGGUUGGAGUUAGGGUUAGUGUUGGAGCUAGGGUUAGGGUUGGGCUUGGAGCUAGGAUUUUUCUGAGUGCAAUGACCAACUCCCGAGUCUCUAGGACAUUCCUAAAAAAAUUUGAUUUUUUCCCAUAGGAAUGCAUGGGUUAGGGUUAGGGUUAGGGUUGGAGCUAGGGUUAGGGUUAGGGUUGGAGUUAGGGUUAGUGUUGGAGCUAGGGAUAGGGUUGGGCUUGGAGCUAGGAUUUUUCUGAGUGCAAUGAACCAACUCCCGAGUCUCUAGGACGUUCCUAAAAAAAUUUGAUUUUUUCCCAUAGGAAUGCAUGGGUUAGGGUUGAGGGUUAGGGUUGGAGCUAGGGUUAGGGUUAGGGUUAGGGUUGGAGUUAGGGUUAGUGUUGGAGCUAGGGUUAGGGUUGGGCUUGGAGCUAGGAUUUUUCUGAGUGCAAUGAACCAACUCCCGAGUCUCUAGGACGUUCCUAAAAAAAUUGAUUUUUUCCCAUAGGAAUGCAUGGGUUAGGGUUAGGGUUAGGGUUGGAGCUAGGGUUAGGGUUAGGGUUAGGGUUGGAGUUAGGGUUAGUGUUGGGGCUAGGGUUAGGGUUGGGCUUGGAGCUAGGAUUUUUCUGAGUGCAAUGAACCAACUCCCGAGUCUCUAGGACGUUCCUAAAAAAAUUUGAUUUUUUCCCAUAGGAAUGCAUGGGUUAGGGUUAGGGUUAAGGGUUGGAGCUAGGGUUAGGGUUAGGGUUAGGGUUGGAGUUAGGGUUAGUGUUGGAGCUAGGGUUAGGGUUGGGCUUGGAGCUAGGAUUUUUCUGAGUGCAAUGAAUCCAACUCCCAAGUCUCUAGGACGUUCCUAAAAAAAUUUGAUUUUUUCCCAUAGGAAUGCAUGGGUUAGGGUUAGGGUUAGGGUUGGAGCUAGGGUUAGGGUUAGGGUUAGGGUUGGAGUUAGGGUUAGUGUUGGAGCUAGGGUUAGGGUUGGGCUUGGAGCUAGGAUUUUUCUGAGUGCAAUGAACCAACUCCCGAGUAUCUAGGACGUUCCUAAAAAAAUUUGAUUUUUUCCCAUAGGAAUGCAUGGGUUAGGGUUAGGGUUAGGGUUGGAGCUAGGGUUAGGGUUAGGGUUAGGGUUGGAGUUAGGGUUAGUGUUGGGGCUAGGGUUAGGGUUGGGCUUGGAGCUAGGAUUUUUCUGAGUGCAAUGACCAACUCCCAAGUCUCUAGGACGUUCCUAAAAAAAUUUGAUUUUUUCCCAUAGGAAUGCAUGGGUUAGGGUUAGGGUUAGGGUUGGAGCUAGGGUUGGAGUUAGGGUUAGUGUUGGAGCUAGGGUUAGGGUUGGGCUUGGAGCUAGGAUUUUUCUGAGUGCAAUGAACCAACUCCCGAGUCUCUAGGACGUUCCUAAAAAAAUUUGAUUUUUUCCCAUAGGAAUGCAUGGGUUAGGGUUAGGGUUAGGGUUGGAGCUAGGGUUAGGGUUAGGGUUAGGGUUGGAGUUAGGGUUAGUGUUGGGGCUAGGGUUAGGGUUGGGCUUGGAGCUAGGAUUUUUCUGAGUGCAAUGACCAACUCCCGAGUCUCUAGGACGUUCCUAAAAAAAUUUGAUUUUUUCCCAUAGGAAUGCAUGGGUUAGGGUUAGGGUUAGGGUUGGAGCUAGGGUUAGGGUUAGGGUUAGGGUUGGAGUUAGGGUUAGUGUUGGAGCUAGGGUUAGGGUUGGGCUUGGAGCUAGGAUUUUUCUGAGUGCAAUGAACCAACUCCCAAGUCUCUAGGACGUUCCUAAAAAAAUUUGAUUUUUUCCCAUAGGAAUGCAUGGGUUAGGGUUAGGGUUAGGGUUGGAGCUAGGGUUAGGGUUAGGGUUAGGGUUGGAGUUAGGGUUAGUGUUGGAGCUAGGGUUAGGGUUGGGCUUGGAGCUAGGAUUUUUCUGAGUGCAAUGAACCAACUCCCGAGUCUCUAGGACGUUCCUAAAAAAAUUUGAAUUUUUACCAUAAGAAUGCAUGGGUUAGGGUUAGGGUUAGGGUUGGAGCUAGGGUUAGGGUUAGGGUUAGGGUUGGAGUUAGGGUUAGUGUUGGAGCUAGGGUUAGGGUUGGGCUUGGAGCUAGGAUUUUUCUGAGUGCAAUGAACCAACUCCCAAGUCUCUAGGACGUUCCUAAAAAAAUUUGAUUUUUUCCCAUAGGAAUGCAUGGGUUAGGGUUAGGGUUAGGGUUGGAGCUAGGGUUAGGGUUAGGGUUAGGGUUGGAGUUAGGGUUAGUGUUGGAGCUAGGGUUAGGGUUGGGCCUUGAGCUAGGAUUUUUCUGAGUGCAAUGAACCAACUCCCGAGUCUCUAGGACGUUCCUAAAAAAAUUUGAUUUUUUCCCAUAGGAAUGCAUGGGUUAGGGUUAGGGUUAGGGUUGGAGCUAGGGUUAGGGUUAGGGUUAGGGUUAGGGUUGGAGUUAGGGUUAGUGUUGGAGCUAGGGUUAGGGUUGGGCUUGGAGCUAGGAUUUUUCUGAGUGCAAUGAACCAACUCCCGAGUCUCUAGGACGUUCCUAAAAAAAUUUGAUUUUUUCCCAUAGGAAUGCAUGGGUUAGGGUUAGGGUUAGGGUUGGAGCUAGGGUAAGGGGUUAGGGUUAGGGUUAGGGUUGGAGUUAGGGUUAGUGUUGGAGCUAGGGUUAGGGUUGGGCUUGGAGCUAGGAUUUUUCUGAGUGCAAUGAACCAACUCCCGAGUCUCUAGGACGUUCCUAAAAAAAUUUGAUUUUUUCCCAUAGGAAUGCAUGGGUUAGGGUUAGGGUAAGGGUUGGAGCUAGGGUUAGGGUUAGGGUUGGAGUUAGGGUUAGUGUUGGAGCUAGGGUUAGGGUUGGGCUUGGAGCUAGGAUUUUUCUGAGUGCAAUGAACCAACUCCCGAGUCUCUAGGACGUUCCUAAAAAAAUUUGAUUUUUUCCCAUAGGAAUGCAUGGGUUAGGGUGAGGGUUAGGGUUGGAGCUAGGGUUAGGGUUAGGGUUAGGGUUGGAGUUAGGGUUAGUGUUGGAGCUAGGGUUAGGGUUGGGCUUGGAGCUAGGAUUUUUCUGAGUGCAAUGAACCAACUCCCGAGUCUCUAGGACGUUCCUAAAAAAAUUUGAUUUUUUCCCAUAGGAAUGCAUGGGUUAGGGUUAGGGUUAGGGUUGGAGCUAGGGUUAGGGUUAGGGUUAGGGUUGGAGUUAGGGUUAGUGUUGGGGCUAGGGUUAGGGUUGGGCUUGGAGCUAGGAUUUUUCUGAGUGCAAUGAACCAACUCCCGAGUCUCUAGGACGUUCCUAAAAAAAUUUGAUUUUUUCCCAUAGGAAUGCAUGGGUUAGGGUUAGGGUAAGGGUUGGAGCUAGGGUUAGGGUUAGGGUUAGGGUUGGAGUUAGGGUUAGUGUUGGAGCUAGGGUUAGGGUUGGGCUUGGAGCUAGGAUUUUUCUGAGUGCAAUGAACCAACUCCCAAGUCUCUAGGACGUUCCUAAAAAAAUUUGAUUUUUUCCCAUAGGAAUGCAUGGGUUAGGGUUAGGGUUAGGGUUGGAGCUAGGGUUAGGGUUAGGGUUAGGGUUGGAGUUAGGGUUAGUGUUGGAGCUAGGGUUAGGGUUGGGCUUGGAGCUAGGAUUUUUCUGAGUGCAAUGAACCAACUCCCGAGUCUCUAGGACGUUCCUAAAAAAAUUGGAUUUUUUCCCAUAGGAAUGCAUGGGUUAGGGUUAGGGUUAGGGUUGGAGCUAGGGUUAGGGUUAGGGUUAGGGUUGGAGUUAGGGUUAGUGUUGGGGCUAGGGUUAGGGUUGGGCUUGGAGCUAGGAUUUUUCUGAGUGCAAUGACCAACUCCCGAGUCUCUAGGACGUUCCUAAAAAAAUUUGAUUUUUUCCCAUAGGAAUGCAUGGGUUAGGGUUAGGGUUAGGGUUGGAGCGAGGGUUAGGGUUAGGGUUAGGGUUAGGGUUGGAGUUAGGGUUAGUGUUGGAGCUAGGGUUAGGGUUGGGCUUGGAGCUAGAAUUUUUCUGAGUGCAAUGACCAACUCCCCAGUCUCUAGGACAUUCCUAAAAAAAUUUGAUUUUUUCCCAUAGGAAUGCAUGGGUUAGGGUUAGGGUUAGGGUUGGAGCUAGGGUUAGGGUUAGGGUUAGGGUUGGAGUUAGGGUUAGUGUUGGAGCUAGGGUUAGGGUUGGGCUUGGAGCUAGGAUUUUUCUGAGUGCAAUGAACCAACUCCCAAGUCUCUAGGACGUUCCUAAAAAAAUUUGAUUUUUUCCCAUAGGAAUGCAUGGGUUAGGGUUAGGGUUAGGGUUGGAGCUAGGGUUAGGGUUAGCGUUAGGGUUGGAGUUAGGGUUAGUGUUGGAGCUAGGGUUAGGGUUGGGCUUGGAGCUAGGAUUUUUCUGAGUGCAAUGAACCAACUCCCGAGUCUCUAGGACGUUCCUAAAAUAAUUUGAUUUUUUCCCAUAGGAAUGCAUGGGUUAGGGUUAGGGUUAGGGUUGGAGCUAGGGUUAGGGUUAGGGUUAGAGUUAGGGUUGGAGUUAGGGUUAGUGUUGGGGCUAGGGUUAGGGUUGGGCUUGGAGCUAGGAUUUUUCUGAGUGCAAUGACCAACUCCCGAGUCUCUAGGACGUUCCUAAAAAAAUUGGAUUUUUUCCCAUAGGAAUGCAUGGGUUAGGGUUAGGGUUAGGGUUGGAGCGAGGGUUAGGGUUAGGGUUAGGGUUAGGGUUGGAGUUAGGGUUAGUGUUGGAGCUAGGGUUAGGGUUGGGCUUGGAGCUAGGAUUUUUCUGAGUGCAAUGACCAACUCCCCAGUCUCUAGGACAUUCCUAAAAAAAUUUGAUUUUUUCCCAUAGGAAUGCAUGGGUUAGGGUUAGGGUUAGGGUUGGAGCUAGGGUUAGGGUUAGGGUUAGGGUUGGAGUUAGGGUUAGUGUUGGAGCUAGGGUUAGGGUUGGGCUUGGAGCUAGGAUUUUUCUGAGUGCAAUGAACCAACUCCCAAGUCUCUAGGACGUUCCUAAAAAAAUUUGAUUUUUUCCCAUAGGAAUGCAUGGGUUAGGGUUAGGGUUAGGGUUGGAGCUAGGGUUAGGGUUAGGGUUAGGGUUGGAGUUAGGGUUAGUGUUGGAGCUAGGGUUAGGGUUAGGCUUGGAGCUAGGAUUUUUCUGAGUGCAAUGAACCAACUCCCGAGUCUCUAGGACGUUCCUAAAAAAAUUUGAUUUUUUCCCAUAGGAAUGCAUGGGUUAGGGUGAGGGUUAGGGUUGGAGCUAGGGUUAGGGUUAGGGUUAGGGUUGGAGUUAGGGUUAGUGUUGGAGCUAGGGUUAGGGUUGGGCUUGGAGCUAGGAUUUUUCUGAGUGCAAUGAACCAACUCCCGAGUCUCUAGGACGUUCCUAAAAAAAUUUGAUUUUUUCCCAUAGGAAUGCAUGGGUUAGGGUUAGGGUUAGGGUUGGAGCUAGGGUUAGGGUUAGGGUUAGGGUUGGAGUUAGGGUUAGUGUUGGGGCUAGGGUUAGGGUUGGGCUUGGAGCUAGGAUUUUUCUGAGUGCAAUGAACCAACUCCCGAGUCUCUAGGACGUUCCUAAAAAAAUUUGAUUUUUUCCCAUAGGAAUGCAUGGGUUAGGGUUAGGGUAAGGGUUGGAGCUAGGGUUAGGGUUAGGGUUAGGGUUGGAGUUAGGGUUAGUGUUGGAGCUAGGGUUAGGGUUGGGCUUGGAGCUAGGAUUUUUCUGAGUGCAAUGAACCAACUCCCAAGUCUCUAGGACGUUCCUAAAAAAAUUUGAUUUUUUCCCAUAGGAAUGCAUGGGUUAGGGUUAGGGAUAGGGUUGGAGCUAGGGUUAGGGUUAGGGUUAGGGUUGGAGUUAGGGUUAGUGUUGGAGCUAGGGUUAGGGUUGGGCUUGGAGCUAGGAUUUUUCUGAGUGCAAUGAACCAACUCCCCAGUCUCUAGGACGUUCCUAAAAAAAUUUGAUUUUUUCCCAUAGGAAUGCAUGGGUUAGGGUUAGGGUUAGGGUUGGAGCUAGGGUUAGGGUUAGGGUUAGGGUUGGAGUUAGGGUUAGUGUUGGGGCUAGGGUUAGGGUUGGGCUUGGAGCUAGGAUUUUUCUGAGUGCAAUGACCAACUCCCGAGUCUCUAGGACGUUCCUAAAAAAAUUUGAUUUUUUCCCAUAGGAAUGCAUGGGUUAGGGUUAGGGUUAGGGUUGGAGCGAGGGUUAGGGUUAGGGUUAGGGUUAGGGUUGGAGUUAGGGUUAGUGUUGGAGCUAGGGUUAGGGUUGGGCUUGGAGCUAGGAUUUUUCUGAGUGCAAUGACCAACUCCCCAGUCUCUAGGACGUUCCUAAAAAAAUUUGAUUUUUUCCCAUAGGAAUGCAUGGGUUAGGGUUAGGGUUAGGGUUGGAGCGAGGGUUAGGGUUAGGGUUAGGGUUAGGGUUGGAGUUAGGGUUAGUGUUGGAGCUAGGGUUAGGGUUGGGCUUGGAGCUAGGAUUUUUCUGAGUGCAAUGAACCAACUCCCGAGUCUCUAGGACAUUCCUAAAAAAAUUUGAUUUUUUCCCAUAGGAAUGCAUGGGUUAGGGUUAGGGUUAGGGUUGGAUCUAGGGUUAGGGUUAGGGUUAGGGUUGGAGUUAGGGUUAGUGUUGGAGCUAGGGUUAGGGUUGGGCUUGGAGCUAGGAUUUUUCUGAGUGCAAUGAACCAACUCCCAAGUCUCUAGGACGUUCCUAAAAAAAUUUGAUUUUUUCCCAUAGGAAUGCAUGGGUUAGGGUUAGGGUUAGGGUUGGAGCUAGGGUUAGGGUUAGGGUUAGGGUUGGAGUUAGGGUUAGUGUUGGAGCUAGGGUUAGGGUUGGGCUUGGAGCUAGGAUUUUUCUGAGUGCAAUGAACCAACUCCCGAGUCUCUAGGACGUUCCUAAAAAAAUUUGAUUUUUUCCCAUAGGAAUGCAUGGGUUAGGGUGAGGGUUAGGGUUGGAGCUAGGGUUAGGGUUAGGGUUAGGGUUGGAGUUUGGGUUAGUGUUGGAGCUAGGGUUAGGGUUGGGCUUGGAGCUAGGAUUUUUCUGAGUGCAAUGAACCAACUCCCGAGUCUCUAGGACGUUCCUAAAAAAAUUUGAUUUUUUCCCAUAGGAAUGCAUGGGUUAGGGUUAGGGUUCGGGUUGGAGCUAGGGUUAGGGUUAGGGUUAGGGUUGGAGUUAGGGUUAGUGUUGGAGCUAGGGUUAGGGUUGGGCUUGGAGCUAGGAUUUUUCUGAGUGCAAUGAACCAACUCCCGAGUCUCUAGGACGUUCCUAAAAAAAUUUGAUUUUUUCCCAUAGGAAUGCAUGGGUUAGGGUGAGGGUUAGGGUUGGAGCUAGGGUUAGGGUUAGGGUUAGGGUUGGAGUUAGGGUUAGUGUUGGAGCUAGGGUUAGGGUUGGGCUUGGAGCUAGGAUUUUUCUGAGUGCAAUGAACCAACUCCCAAGUCUCUAGGACGUUCCUAAAAAAAAUUGAUUUUUUCCCAUAGGAAUGCAUGGGUUAGGGUUAGGGAUAGGGUUGGAGCUAGGGUUAGGGUUAGGGUUAGGGUUGGAGUUAGGGUUAGUGUUGGAGCUAGGGUUAGGGUUGGGCUUGGAGCUAGGAUUUUUCUGAGUGCAAUGAACCAACUCCCGAGUCUCUAGGACGUUCCUAAAAAAAUUUGAUUUUUUCCCAUAGGAAUGCAUGGGUUAGGGUUAGGGUUAGGGUUGGAGCUAGGGUUAGGGUUAGGGUUAGGGAUGGAGUUAGGGUUAGUGUUGGGGCUAGGGUUAGGGUUGGGCUUGGAGCUAGGAUUUUUCUGAGUGCAAUGACCAACUCCCGAGUCUCUAGGACGUUCCUAAAAAAAUUUGAUUUUUUCCCAUAGGAAUGCAUGGGUUAGGGUUAGGGUUAGGGUUGGAGCGAGGGUUAGGGUUAGGGUUAGGGUUAGGGUUAGGGUUAGGGUUGGAGUUAGGGUUAGUGUUGGAGCUAGGGUUAGGGUUGGGCUUGGAGCUAGGAUUUUUCUGAGUGCAAUGACCAACUCCCCAGUCUCUAGGACAUUCCUAAAAAAAUUUGAUUUUUUCCCAUAGGAAUGCAUGGGUUAGGGUUAGGGUUAGGGUUGGAGCUAGGGUUAGGGUUAGGGUUAGGGUUGGAGUUAGGGUUAGUGUUGGAGCUAGGGUUAGGGUUGGGCUUGGAGCUAGGAUUUUUCUGAGUGCAAUGAACCAACUCCCGAGUCUCUAGGACGUUCCUAAAAAAAUUUGAUUUUUUCCCAUAGGAAUGCAUGGGUUAGGGUUAGGGUUAGGGUUGGAGCUAGGGUUAGGGUUAGGGUUAGGGUUAGGGUUGGAGUUAGGGUUAGUGUUGGAGCUAGGGUUAGGGUUCGGCUUGGAGCUAGGAUUUUUCUGAGUGCAAUGAACCAACUCCCGAGUCUCUAGGACGUUCCUAAAAAAAUUAGAUUUUUUCCCAUAGGAAUGCAUGGGUUAGGGUUAGGGUUAGGGUUGGAGCUAGGGUUAGGGUUAGGGUUAGGGUUAGGGUUGGAGUUAGGGUUAGUGUUGGAGCUAGGGUUAGGGUUGGGCUUGGAGCUAGGAUUUUUCUGAGUGCAAUGAACCAACUCCCGAGUCUCUAGGACGUUCCUAAAAAAAUUUGAUUUUUUCCCAUAGGAAUGCAUGGGUUAGGGUUAGGGGAAGGGUUGGAGCUAGGGUUAGGGUUAGGGUUAGGGUUGGAGUUAGGGUUAGUGUUGGAGCUAGGGUUAGGGUUGGGCUUGGAGCUAGGAUUUUUCUGAGUGCAAUGAACCAACUCCCAAGUCUCUAGGACGUUCCUAAAAAAAUUUGAUUUUUUCCCAUAGGAAUGCAUGGGUUAGGGUUAGGGUUAGGGUUGGAGCUAGGGUUAGGGUUAGGGUUUGGGUUGGAGUUAGGGUUAGUGUUGGAGCUAGGGUUAGGGUUGGGCUUGGAGCUAGGAUUUUUCUGAGUGCAAUGAACCAACUCUCGAGUCUCUAGGACGUUCCUAAAAAAAUUUGAUUUUUUCCCAUAGGAAUGCAUGGGUUAGGGUUAGGGUUAGGGUUGGAGCUAGGGUUAGGGUUAGGGUUAGGUUUGGAGUUAGGGUUAGUGUUGGAGCUAGGGUUAGGGUUGGGCUUGGAGCUAGGAUUUUUCUGAGUGCAAUGAACCAACUCCCAAGUCUCUAGGACGUUCCUAAAAAAAUUUGAUUUUUUCCCAUAGGAAUGCAUGGGUUAGGGUUAGGGUUAGGGUUGGAGCGAGGGUUAGGGUUAGGGUUAGGGUUAGGGUUGGAGUUAGGGUUAGUGUUGGAGCUAGGGUUAGGGUUGGGCUUGGAGCUAGGAUUUUUCUGAGUGCAAUGACCAACUCCCGAGUCUCUAGGACAUUCCUAAAAAAAUUUGAUUUUUUCCCAUAGGAAUGCAUGGGUUAGGGUUAGGGUUAGGGUUGGAGCUAGGGUUAGGGUUAGGGUUAGGGUUGGAGUUAGGGUUAGUGUUGGAGCUAGGGAUAGGGUUGGGCUUGGAGCUAGGAUUUUUCUGAGUGCAAUGAACCAACUCCCAAGUCUCUAGGACGUUCCUAAAAAAAUUUGAUUUUUUCCCAUAGGAAUGCAUGGGUUAGGGUUAGGGUUAGGGUUGGAGGUAGGGUUAGGGUUAGGGUUAGGGUUGGAGUUAGGGUUAGUGUUGGGGCUAGGGUUAGGGUUGGGCUUGGAGCUAGGAUUUUUCUGAGUGCAAUGAACCAACUCCCGAGUCUCUAGGACGUUCCUAAAAAAAUUUGAUUUUUUCCCAUAGGAAUGCAUGGGUUAGGGUGAGGGUUAGGGUUGGAGCUAGGGUUAGGGUUAGGGUUAGGGUUGGAGUUAGGGUUAGUGUUGGAGCUAGGGUUAGGGUUGGGCUUGGAGCUAGGAUUUUUCUGAGUGCAAUGAACCAACUCCCGAGUCUCUAGGACGUUCCUAAAAAAAUUUGAUUUUUUCCCAUAGGAAUGCAUGGGUUAGGGUUAGGGUUAGGGUUGGAGUUAGGGUUAGGGUUAGGGUUAGGGUUGGAGUUAGGGUUAGUGUUGGGGCUAGGGUUAGGGUUGGGCUUGGAGCUAGGAUUUUUCUGAGUGCAAUGAACCAACUCCCGAGUCUCUAGGACGUUCCUAAAAAAAUUUGAUUUUUUCCCAUAGGAAUGCAUGGGUUAGGGUUAGGGUAAGGGUUGGAGCUAGGGUUAGGGUUAGGGUUAGGGUUGGAGUUAGGGUUAGUGUUGGAGCUAGGGUUAGGGUUGGGCCUGGAGCUAGGAUUUUUCUGAGUGCAAUGAACCAACUCCCAAGUCUCUAGGACGUUCCUAAAAAAAUUUGAUUUUUUCCCAUAGGAAUGCAUGGGUUAGGGUUAGGGUUAGGGUUGGAGCUAGGGUUAGGGUUAGGGUUAGGGUUGGAGUUAGGGUUAGUGUUGGAGCUAGGGUUAGGGUUGGGCUUGGAGCUAGGAUUUUUCUGAGUGCAAUGAACCAACUCCCGAGUCUCUAGGACGUUCCUAAAAAAAUUUGAUUUUUUCCCAUAGGAAUGCAUGGGUUAGGGUUAGGGUUAGGGUUGGAGCUAGGGUUAGGGUUAGGGUUAGGGUUGGAGUUAGGGUUAGUGUUGGGGCUAGGGUUAGGGUUGGGCUUGGAGCUAGGAUUUUUCUGAGUGCAAUGACCAACUCCCGAGUCUCUAGGACGUUCCUAAAAAAAUUUGAUUUUUUCCCAUAGGAAUGCAUGGGUUAGGGUUAGGGUUGGGGUUGGAGCUAGGGUUGGAGUUAGGGUUAGUGUUGGAGCUAGGGUUAGGGUUGGGCUUGGAGCUAGGAUUUUUCUGAGUGCAAUGAACCAACUCCCGAGUCUCUAGGACGUUCCUAAAAAAAUUUGAUUUUUUCCCAUAGGAAUGCAUGGGUUAGGGUUUGGGUUAGGGUUGGAGCUAGGGUUAGGGUUAGGGUUAGGGUUGGAGUUAGGGUUAGGGUUAGGGUUGGAGCUAGGGUUAGUGUUGGAGCUAGGGUUAGGGUUGGGCUUGGAGCUAGGAUUUUUCUGAGUGCAAUGAACCAACUCCCGAGUCUCUAGGACGUUCCUAAAAAAAUUUGAUUUUUUCCCAUAGGAAUGCAUGGGUUAGGGUUAGGGUUAGGGUUGGAGCGAGGGUUAGGGUUAGGGUUAGGGUUAGGGUUGGAGUUAGGGUUAGUGUUGGAGCUAGGGUUAGGGUUGGGCUUGGAGCUAGGAUUUUUCUGAGUGCAAUGACCAACUCCCGAGUCUCUAGGACAUUCCUAAAAAAAUUUGAUUUUUUCCCAUAGGAAUGCAUGGGUUAGGGUUAGGGUUAGGGUUGGAGCUAGGGUUAGGGUUAGGGUUAGGGUUGGAGUUAGGGUUAGUGUUGGAGCUAGGGAUAGGGUUGGGCUUGGAGCUAGGAUUUUUCUGAGUGCAAUGAACCAACUCCCAAGUCUCUAGGACGUUCCUAAAAAAAUUUGAUUUUUUCCCAUAGGAAUGCAUGGGUUAGGGUUAGGGUUAGGGUUGGAGCUAGGGUUAGGGUUAGGGUUAGGGUUGGAGUUAGGGUUAGUGUUGGAGCUAGGGUUAGGGUUGGGCUUGGAGCUAGGAUUUUUCUGAGUGCAAUGAACCAACUCCCGAGUCUCUAGGACGUUCCUAAAAAAAUUUGAUUUUUUCCCAUAGGAAUGCAUGGGUUAGGGUGAGGGUUAGGGUUGGAGCUAGGGUUAGGGUUAGGGUUAGGGUUGGAGUUAGGGUUAGUGUUGGAGCUAGGGUUAGGGUUGGGCUUGGAGCUAGGAUUUUUCUGAGUGCAAUGAACCAACUCCCGAGUCUCUAGGACGUUCCUAAAAAAAUUUGAUUUUUUCCCAUAGGAAUGCAUGGGUUAGGGUUAGGGUUAGGGUUGGAGUUAGGGUUAGGGUUAGGGUUAGGGUUGGAGUUAGGGUUAGUGUUGGGGCUAGGGUUAGGGUUGGGCUUGGAGCUAGGAUUUUUCUGAGUGCAAUGAACCAACUCCCGAGUCUCUAGGACGUUCCUAAAAAAUUUUGAUUUUUUCCCAUAGGAAUGCAUGGGUUAGGGUUAGGGUAAGGGUUGGAGCUAGGGUUAGGGUUAGGGUUAGGGUUGGAGUUAGGGUUAGUGUUGGAGCUAGGGUUAGGGUUGGGCCUGGAGCUAGGAUUUUUCUGAGUGCAAUGAACCAACUCCCAAGUCUCUAGGACGUUCCUAAAAAAAUUUGAUUUUUUCCCAUAGGAAUGCAUGGGUUAGGGUUAGGGUUAGGGUUGGAGCUAGGGUUAGGGUUAGGGUUAGGGUUGGAGUUAGGGUUAGUGUUGGAGCUAGGGUUAGGGUUGGGCUUGGAGCUAGGAUUUUUCUGAGUGCAAUGAACCAACUCCCGAGUCUCUAGGACGUUCCUAAAAAAAUUUGAUUUUUUCCCAUAGGAAUGCAUGGGUUAGGGUUAGGGUUAGGGUUGGAGCUAGGGUUAGGGUUAGGGUUAGGGUUGGAGUUAGGGUUAGUGUUGGGGCUAGGGUUAGGGUUGGGCUUGGAGCUAGGAUUUUUCUGAGUGCAAUGACCAACUCCCGAGUCUCUAGGACGUUCCUAAAAAAAUUUGAUUUUUUCCCAUAGGAAUGCAUGGGUUAGGGUUAGGGUUGGGGUUGGAGCUAGGGUUGGAGUUAGGGUUAGUGUUGGAGCUAGGGUUAGGGUUGGGCUUGGAGCUAGGAUUUUUCUGAGUGCAAUGAACCAACUCCCGAGUCUCUAGGACGUUCCUAAAAAAAUUUGAUUUUUUCCCAUAGGAAUGCAUGGGUUAGGGUUUGGGUUAGGGUUGGAGCUAGGGUUAGGGUUAGGGUUAGGGUUGGAGUUAGGGUUAGGGUUAGGGUUGGAGCUAGGGUUAGUGUUGGAGCUAGGGUUAGGGUUGGGCUUGGAGCUAGGAUUUUUCUGAGUGCAAUGAACCAACUCCCGAGUCUCUAGGACGUUCCUAAAAAAAAUUGAUUUUUUCCCAUAGGAAUGCAUGGGUUAGGGUUAGGGUUAGGGUUGGAGCUAGGGUUAGGGUUAGGGUUAGGGUUAGGGUUGGAGUUAGGGUUAGGGUUGGGCUUGGAGCUAGGAUUUUUCUGAGUGCAAUGAACCAACUCCCGAGUCUCUAGGACGUUCCUAAAAAAAUUUGAUUUUUUCCCAUAGGAAUGCAUGGGUUAGGGUUAGGGUUAGGGUUGGAGCUAGGGUUAGGGUUAGGGUUAGGGUUGGAGUUAGGGUUAGUGUUGGAGCUAGGGUUAGGGUUGGGCUUGGAGCUAGGAUUUUUCUGAGUGCAAUGAACCAACUCCCAAGUCUCUAGGACGUUCCUAAAAAAAUUUGAUUUUUUCCCAUAGGAAUGCAUGGGUUAGGGUUAGGGUUAGGGUUAGGGUUGGAGUUAGGGUUAGUGUUGGAGCUAGGGUUAGGGUUGGGCUUGGAGCUAGGAUUUUUCUGAGUGCAAUGAACCAACUCCCGAGUCUCUAGGACGUUCCUAAAAAAAUUUGAUUUUUCCAUAGGAAUGCAUGGGUUAGGGUUAGGGUUAGGGUUGGAGCUAGGGUUAGGAUUAGGGUUAGGGUUGAAGUUAGGGUUAGUGUUGGAGCUAGGGUUAGGGUUGGGCUUGGAGCUAGGAUUUUUCUGAGUGCAAUGAACCAACUCCCGAGUCUCUAGGACGUUCCUAAAAAAAUUUGAUUUUUUCCCAUAGGAAUGCAUGGGUUAGGGUUAGGGUUAGGGUUGGAGCUAGGGUUAGGGUUAGGGUUAGGGUUGGAGUUAGGGUUAGUGUUGGAGCUAGGGUUAGGGUUGGGCUUGGAGCUAGGAUUUUUCUGAGUGCAAUGAACCAACUCCCGAGUCUCUAGGACGUUCCUAAAAAAAUUUGAUUUUUUCCCAUAGGAAUGCAUGGGUUAGGGUUAGGGUUAGGGUUGGAGCUAGGGUUAGGGUUAGGGUUAGGGUUGGAGUUAGGGUUAGUGUUGGAGCUAGGGUUAGGGUUGGGCUUGGAGCUAGGAUUUUUCUGAGUGCAAUGAACCAACUCCCGAGUCUCUAGGACGUUCCUAAAAAAAAAUUGAUUUUUUCCCAUAGGAAUGCAUGGGUUAGGGUUAGGGUUAGGGUUGGAGCUAGGGUUAGGGUUAGGGUUAGGGUUGGAGUUAGGGUUAGUGUUGGAGCUAGGGUUAGGGUUGGGCUUGGAGCUAGGAUUUUUCUGAGUGCAAUGAACCAACUCCCGAGUCUCUAGGACGUUCCUAAAAAAAUUUGAUUUUUUCCCAUAGGAAUGCAUGGGUUAGGGUUAGGGUUAGGGUUGGAGUUAGGGUUAGUGUUGGAGCUAGGGUUAGGGUGGGGCUUGGAGCUAGGAUUUUUCUGUGUGCAAUGAACCAACUCUAGGACGUUCCUAAAAAAUUUUGAUUUUUUCCCAUAGGAAUGCAUGGGUUAGGGUUAGGGUUAGGGUUGGAGCUAGGGUUAGUGUUGGAGCUAGGGUUAGGGUUGGGCUUGGAGCUAGGAUUUUUCUGAGUGCAAUGAACCAACUCCCGAGUCUCAAGGACGUUCCUAAAAAAAUUUGAUUUUUUCCCAUAGGAAUGCAUGGGUUAGGGUUAGGGUUAGGGUUGGAGCUAGGGUUAGGGUUAGGGUUAGGGUUGGAGUUAGGGUUAGGGUUGGGCUUGGAGCUAGGAUUUUUCUGAGUGCAAUGAACCAACUCCCGAGUCUCUAGGACGUUCCUAAAAAAAUUUGAUUUUUUCCCAUAGGAAUGCAUGGGUUAGGGUUAGGGUUAGGGUUGGAGCUAGGGUUAGGGUUAGGGUUAGGGUUGGAGUUAGGGUUAGUGUUGGAGCUAGGGUUAGGGUUGGGCUUGGAGCUAGGAUUUUUCUGAGUGCAAUGAACCAACUCCCAAGUCUCUAGGACGUUCCUAAAAAAAUUUGAUUUUUUCCCAUAGGAAUGCAUGGGUUAGGGUUAGGGUUAGGGUUAGGGUUGGAGUUAGGGUUAGUGUUGGAGCUAGGGUUAGGGUUGGGCUUGGAGCUAGGAUUUUUCUGAGUGCAAUGAACCAACUCCCGAGUCUCUAGGACGUUCCUAAAAAAAUUUGAUUUUUUCCCAUAGGAAUGCAUGGGUUAGGGUUAGGGUUAGGGUUGAAGCUAGGGUUAGGGUUAGGGUUAGGGUUAGGGUUGGAGUUAGGGUUAGUGUUGGAGCUAGGGUUAGGGUUGGGCUUGGAGCUAGGAUUUUUCUGAGUGCAAUGAACCAACUCCCGAGUCUCUAGGACGUUCCUAAAAAAAUUUGAUUUUUUCCCAUAGGAAUGCAUGGGUUAGGGUUAGGGUUAGGGUUGGAGCUAGGGUAAGGGGUUAGGGUUAGGGUUAGGGUUGGAGUUAGGGUUAGUGUUGGAGCUAGGGUUAGGGUUGGGCUUGGAGCUAGGAUUUUUCUGAGUGCAAUGAACCAACUCCCGAGUCUCUAGGACGUUCCUAAAAAAAUUUGAUUUUUUCCCAUAGGAAUGCAUGGGUUAGGGUUAGGGUAAGGGUUGGAGCUAGGGUUAGGGUUAGGGUUGGAGUUAGGGUUAGUGUUGGAGCUAGGGUUAGGGUUGGGCUUGGAGCUAGGAUUUUUCUGAGUGCAAUGAACCAACUCCCGAGUCUCUAGGACGUUCCUAAAAAAAUUUGAUUUUUUCCCAUAGGAAUGCAUGGGUUAGGGUGAGGGUUAGGGUUGGAGCUAGGGUUAGGGUUAGGGUUAGGGUUGGAGUUAGGGUUAGUGUUGGAGCUAGGGUUAGGGUUGGGCUUGGAGCUAGGAUUUUUCUGAGUGCAAUGAACCAACUCCCGAGUCUCUAGGACGUUCCUAAAAAAAUUUGAUUUUUUCCCAUAGGAAUGCAUGGGUUAGGGUUAGGGUUAGGGUUGGAGCUAGGGUUAGGGUUAGGGUUAGGGUUGGAGUUAGGGUUAGUGUUGGGGCUAGGGUUAGGGUUGGGCUUGGAGCUAGGAUUUUUCUGAGUGCAAUGAACCAACUCCCGAGUCUCUAGGACGUUCCUAAAAAAAUUUGAUUUUUUCCCAUAGGAAUGCAUGGGUUAGGGUUAGGGUAAGGGUUGGAGCUAGGGUUAGGGUUAGGGUUAGGGUUGGAGUUAGGGUUAGUGUUGGAGCUAGGGUUAGGGUUGGGCUUGGAGCUAGGAUUUUUCUGAGUGCAAUGAACCAACUCCCAAGUCUCUAGGACGUUCCUAAAAAAAUUUGAUUUUUUCCCAUAGGAAUGCAUGGGUUAGGGUUAGGGUUAGGGUUGGAGCUAGGGUUAGGGUUAGGGUUAGGGUUGGAGUUAGGGUUAGUGUUGGAGCUAGGGUUAGGGUUGGGCUUGGAGCUAGGAUUUUUCUGAGUGCAAUGAACCAACUCCCGAGUCUCUAGGACGUUCCUAAAAAAAUUGGAUUUUUUCCCAUAGGAAUGCAUGGGUUAGGGUUAGGGUUAGGGUUGGAGCUAGGGUUAGGGUUAGGGUUAGGGUUGGAGUUAGGGUUAGUGUUGGGGCUAGGGUUAGGGUUGGGCUUGGAGCUAGGAUUUUUCUGAGUGCAAUGACCAACUCCCGAGUCUCUAGGACGUUCCUAAAAAAAUUUGAUUUUUUCCCAUAGGAAUGCAUGGGUUAGGGUUAGGGUUGGAGCGAGGGUUAGGGUUAGGGUUAGGGUUAGGGUUGGAGUUAGGGUUAGUGUUGGAGCUAGGGUUAGGGUUGGGCUUGGAGCUAGAAUUUUUCUGAGUGCAAUGACCAACUCCCCAGUCUCUAGGACAUUCCUAAAAAAAUUUGAUUUUUUCCCAUAGGAAUGCAUGGGUUAGGGUUAGGGUUUGGGUUUGAGCUAGGGUUAGGGUUAGGGUUAGGGUUGGAGUUAGGGUUAGUGUUGGAGCUAGGGUUAGGGUUGGGCUUGGAGCUAGGAUUUUUCUGAGUGCAAUGAACCAACUCCCAAGUCUCUAGGACGUUCCUAAAAAAUUUGAUUUUUUCCCAUAGGAAUGCAUGGGUUAGGGUUAGGGUUAGGGUUGGAGCUAGGGUUAGGGUUAGCGUUAGGGUUGGAGUUAGGGUUAGUGUUGGAGCUAGGGUUAGGGUUGGGCUUGGAGCUAGGAUUUUUCUGAGUGCAAUGAACCAACUCCCGAGUCUCUAGGACGUUCCUAAAAUAAUUUGAUUUUUUCCCAUAGGAAUGCAUGGGUUAGGGUUAGGGUUAGGGUUGGAGCUAGGGUUAGGGUUAGGGUUAGAGUUAGGGUUGGAGUUAGGGUUAGUGUUGGGGCUAGGGUUAGGGUUGGGCUUGGAGCUAGGAUUUUUCUGAGUGCAAUGACCAACUCCCGAGUCUCUAGGACGUUCCUAAAAAAAUUGGAUUUUUUCCCAUAGGAAUGCAUGGGUUAGGGUUAGGGUUAGGGUUGGAGCGAGGGUUAGGGUUAGGGUUAGGGUUAGGGUUGGAGUUAGGGUUAGUGUUGGAGCUAGGGUUAGGGUUGGGCUUGGAGCUAGGAUUUUUCUGAGUGCAAUGACCAACUCCCCAGUCUCUAGGACAUUCCUAAAAAAAUUUGAUUUUUUCCCAUAGGAAUGCAUGGGUUAGGGUUAGGGUUAGGGUUGGAGCUAGGGUUAGGGUUAGGGUUAGGGUUGGAGUUAGGGUUAGUGUUGGAGCUAGGGUUAGGGUUGGGCUUGGAGCUAGGAUUUUUCUGAGUGCAAUGAACCAACUCCCAAGUCUCUAGGACGUUCCUAAAAAAAUUUGAUUUUUUCCCAUAGGAAUGCAUGGGUUAGGGUUAGGGUUAGGGUUGGAGCUAGGGUUAGGGUUAGGGUUAGGGUUGGAGUUAGGGUUAGUGUUGGAGCUAGGGUUAGGGUUGGGCUUGGAGCUAGGAUUUUUCUGAGUGCAAUGAACCAACUCCCGAGUCUCUAGGACGUUCCUAAAAAAAUUUGAUUUUUUCCCAUAGGAAUGCAUGGGUUAGGGUGAGGGUUAGGGUUGGAGCUAGGGUUAGGGUUAGGGUUAGGGUUGGAGUUAGGGUUAGUGUUGGAGCUAGGGUUAGGGUUGGGCUUGGAGCUAGGAUUUUUCUGAGUGCAAUGAACCAACUCCCGAGUCUCUAGGACGUUCCUAAAAAAAUUUGAUUUUUUCCCAUAGGAAUGCAUGGGUUAGGGUUAGGGUUAGGGUUGGAGCUAGGGUUAGGGUUAGGGUUAGGGUUGGAGUUAGGGUUAGUGUUGGGGCUAGGGUUAGGGUUGGGCUUGGAGCUAGGAUUUUUCUGAGUGCAAUGAACCAACUCCCGAGUCUCUAGGACGUUCCUAAAAAAAUUUGAUUUUUUCCCAUAGGAAUGCAUGGGUUAGGGUUAGGGUAAGGGUUGGAGCUAGGGUUAGGGUUAGGGUUAGGGUUGGAGUUAGGGUUAGUGUUGGAGCUAGGGUUAGGGUUGGGCUUGGAGCUAGGAUUUUUCUGAGUGCAAUGAACCAACUCCCGAGUCUCUAGGACGUUCCUAAAAAAAUUUGAUUUUUUCCCAUAGGAAUGCAUGGGUUAGGGUUAGGGAUAGGGUUGGAGCUAGGGUUAGGGUUAGGGUUAGGGUUGGAGUUAGGGUUAGUGUUGGAGCUAGGGUUAGGGUUGGGCUUGGAGCUAGGAUUUUUCUGAGUGCAAUGAACCAACUCCCGAGUCUCUAGGACGUUCCUAAAAAAAUUUGAUUUUUUCCCAUAGGAAUGCAUGGGUUAGGGUUAGGGUAAGGGUUGGAGCUAGGGUUAGGGUUAGGGUUAGGGUUGGAGUUAGGGUUAGUGUUGGGGCUAGGGUUAGGGUUGGGCUUGGAGCUAGGAUUUUUCUGAGUGCAAUGACCAACUCCCGAGUCUCUAGGACGUUCCUAAAAAAAUUUGAUUUUUUCCCAUAGGAAUGCAUGGGUUAGGGUUAGGGUUAGGGUUGGAGCGAGGGUUAGGGUUAGGGUUAGGGUUAGGGUUGGAGUUAGGGUUAGUGUUGGAGCUAGGGUUAGGGUUGGGCUUGGAGCUAGGAUUUUUCUGAGUGCAAUGACCAACUCCCCAGUCUCUAGGACGUUCCUAAAAAAAUUUGAUUUUUUCCCAUAGGAAUGCAUGGGUUAGGGUUAGGGUUAGGGUUGGAGCGAGGGUUAGGGUUAGGGUUAGGGUUAGGGUUGGAGUUAGGGUUAGUGUUGGAGCUAGGGUUAGGGUUGGGCUUGGAGCUAGGAUUUUUCUGAGUGCAAUGAACCAACUCCCGAGUCUCUAGGACAUUCCUAAAAAAAUUUGAUUUUUUCCCAUAGGAAUGCAUGGGUUAGGGUUAGGGUUAGGGUUGGAUCUAGGGUUAGGGUUAGGGUUAGGGUUGGAGUUAGGGUUAGUGUUGGAGCUAGGGUUAGGGUUGGGCUUGGAGCUAGGAUUUUUCUGAGUGCAAUGAACCAACUCCCAAGUCUCUAGGACGUUCCUAAAAAAAUUUGAUUUUUUCCCAUAGGAAUGCAUGGGUUAGGGUUAGGGUUAGGGUUGGAGCUAGGGUUAGGGUUAGGGUUAGGGUUGGAGUUAGGGUUAGUGUUGGAGCUAGGGUUAGGGUUGGGCUUGGAGCUAGGAUUUUUCUGAGUGCAAUGAACCAACUCCCGAGUCUCUAGGACGUUCCUAAAAAAAUUUGAUUUUUUCCCAUAGGAAUGCAUGGGUUAGGGUUUGGGUUAGGGUUGGAGCUAGGGUUAGGGUUAGGGUUAGGGUUGGAGUUAGGGUUAGGGUUAGGGUUGGAGCUAGGGUUAGUGUUGGAGCUAGGGUUAGGGUUGGGCUUGGAGCUAGGAUUUUUCUGAGUGCAAUGAACCAACUCCCGAGUCUCUAGGACGUUCCUAAAAAAAUUUGAUUUUUUCCCAUAGGAAUGCAUGGGUUAGGGUUAAGGUUAGGGUUGGAGCUAGGGUUAGGGUUGGAGCUAGGGUUAGUGUUGGAGCUAGGGUUAGGGUUGGGCUUGGAGCUAGGAUUUUUCUGAGUGCAAUGAACCAACUCCCGAGUCUCUAGGACGUUCCUAAAAAAUUUGAUUUUUUCCCAUAGGAAUGCAUGGGUUAGGGUUAGGGUUAGGGUUGGAGCUAGGGUUAGGGUUAGGGUUAGGGUUGGAGUUAGGGUUAGUGUUGGAGCUAGGGUUAGGGUUGGGCUUGGAGCUAGGAUUUUUCUGAGUGCAAUGAACCAACUCCCGAGUCCCUAGGACGUUCCUAAAAAAAAUUGAUUUUUUUCCCAUAGGAAUGCAUGGGUUAGGGUUAGGGUUAGGGUUGGAGCUAGGGUUAGGGUUAGGGUUAGGGUUGGAGUUAGAGUUAGUGUUGGAGCUAGGGUUAGGGUUGGGCUUGGAGCUAGGAUUUUUCUGAGUGCAAUGAACCAACUCCCGAGUCUCUAGGACGUUCCUAAAAAAAUUUGAUUUUUUUCUCAUAGGAAUGCAUGGGUUAGGGUUAGGGUUAGGGUUGGAGCUAGGGUUAGGGUUAGGGUUAGGGUUGGAGUUAGGGUUAGUGUUGGAGCUAGGGUUAGGGAUGGGCUUGGAGCUAGGAUUUUUCUGAGUGCAAUGAACCAACUCCCGAGUCUCUAGGACGUUCCUAAAAAAAUUUGAUUUUUUUCCAUAGGAAUG
rnacentral:lncRNA from 1 species